UGGUGUGAGGUAGGCAGAAUUGGAGCACUUCCACCAGGAGAAGAGCCACAGAGUAUUCCUCUACCAGAGCUGUCCACUAGGAGAGUGCUCUGCACCUGUCACCAAGCGUGCGGGCUCACGAGGCCACCCGCACGGAUCCACUCCAGGCAGGUCCCAGGGCUCACGAGGCCACCCGCACGGAUCCACUCCAGGCAGGUCCCAGGGCUCACGAGGCCACCCGCACGGAUCCACUCCAGGCAGGUCCCAGGGCUCACGAGGCCACCCGCAGGAUCCACUCCAGGCAGGUCCCAGGAGUGCGGCAGCCGUGUACUUAGACCGUCUGUGGGAGCGACGGAGGCAGCCCAGACCUUGUCCCAGCCUAGCCCCCCAUGGACGCGCUCAGGAAGCCCACAGCUGCCAAGAGCAGCUCCAUCUCGGCCACGGAAGCACUUUUGUCCACUUGGAUGUCGCGCAGCACUGAGUUUACAAAGCAGGCAGUGUAGGUGUAGAGUCAGACACAACUGGGUGACUGAACAACAUCCUGCAGCUGAGUUUACAAAGCUCGCAGUGUGGGUGUCUGUCUGUGUCUGGCACAGCCACCUGGAGAGACCUGAGCUCUGCUUCCUACGUUGGGCAACCCUCUGGCACCUGAUCCCAGAGCCUGCCGGGACGGCCCAGUGCAGGGAGGAAAGAGGCUGCUCCAGCGGGCCCUCACCCCCCACCUAACAACGGCACUUGGCCUCUCGGGCUGUCUCUGAGCAGCCAAGCCCCAGCCCUCUCCCCAGCUCUGUGCUGUAAACCCAAGUUUCAGCACCCGGCCCCAGCUGUGCCCGUAGACGUGCGUCUCGGGCUGGGGAGCGCAGGCAGGCGCCACAGACUGCGGCUCUUUCUUUCUCUGUCACACACCAGUUGUGACACUCGCCUCUGAAGCUCCCUUUCUGUCCUGGUGACUCUUGCAGCUCCCUCUGAGGGGCACAGGUUCCGUCCUGCUAUUUCUUUGCUUUUUCUUUGGUCCUACCCAGGGUUAUGUGGAGGUCUUUUCCUUUCAGGUGUCUGAGGUCUUCUGCUAGUGUUUAGUAGGUCUUCUGUGAGAACUGUUGAGUAUGUCAGUGUGUUUUUGAUGAACCUGUGGGAAGAGAUGAUUUCCACAUCCUUAUACUCCACCGUCUUGAUUAGCGCCCUGAGUUACUACUAUUAGAUGAGGGAUGGUCACACAAGUAGUGAAAGUGGAAAGCAAAACCUUUGUACCUGAGACAUACAGAGAGCAAACAGAAAUGGAGAACUAUUUCUUUCUCUUCUUGGUCGCACUAGGUUUUCAUUGCUGUGCGCAGGCUUUCUCCAGUUGCAAUGAAUGUUGGCUAGUCUUUCUUGCCCCAUUGCAGUGGCUUCUCCUGCGGAACACAGGCUCUAGCGCACGGGCUUCAGUAGUUGGCGGUGCACAGGCUUUACUUGCUCCACGGAAUGUGGGAUCUUCCUGGUCCAGGGAUCGAACCCGUGUCCCGUGCACUGGUAGGCUGAUUCUUACCCACUGUACCACCGGGGAAGCCCGGGAACUAUUUUAAAUUUUAAACAAUUCUCAAGUUAAAUAUCUUGGGUUACUAUGUGAAUUUGACGGAUUAGUUGGAGGUUUUGUCUUCCACGAAGGCACCUUCCUUCCCAAGUUGGAGAAAGUUGAAAACGGUGCAGUGAAAUGUACUAAACAGCUAAAGCGUACGUGGGGGUGGGCAGGGGGAGCGGCCGCGUGUGUUUAUGUGCAUGCCGCCUAGAGCCACUAGGGGGAGCCAGGACUCAACGCAAAGUAGACUGGAGACAGUGGAAGCAACGGCUAAAGUAGGAUUAUGUCUCAAAAGGAAGUGCCAACCCAAAUCCACACUUUGGAUGAAAACCCGUUUUCAGGAUCACAUGGAGGACUCAAAUAUAAAUAUACACUGAAAGUUUAAUACUUCAAAUCACAACUUUUAUACUUGGAAAGAAUUAGAUGGUUUCUAGAUUGAGGUCUAAGAGAUGGUCUUCCUAUUCUGCUACAUCACCCUUUGGGAAGAUUUUUUUUUUUAAUUUAUUCAUUAUUAUGGUGGUUUUUUGGCUGCUGGGGGUGGGCUUUCUGUAAUUGCAGUGCUCGGGCUUCUCUGCAGCGGCUUCUCUCGUUGCGGAGCACAGGCUCUCGGCGCUUGGGCUUCAGUAGUUGUUGCAUGUGGGCCCAGUCGUUGGCGGCUCUGUGGCUCUAGAGCCCGGGAAAGCCAGUAGUUGUGGCACGUGGGCUUAGUUGUUCUGAGACAUGUGGGAUCUUCCCGGACCAGGGGUUGAACCUGUGUCCCCUGCAUUGGCAGGCAGAUUCUUCACCACUGGACCACCAGGGAAGUCC
ensembl:lncRNA